UGCUUCAAAAACCUACACGAUGAAUUCAUAUGUUUUUCCUUUGACCCUUACAUUAUUUUCAGGUCAUAUGGAUGUGAUAAUCAUUUGAAAACAGCUGAUUGCUAGCGGAAACCAUUUCAUUCUUUUUUCGCAUGGUGUUCACGUUGGAGUCAAGUGAUUUUCUCUUGGAUUGGCCCCAUCAGUCUUUUCCCUUGAUAGUUAGGUGGAAACCACGUUAAAAUUGUAUGUUUUGAAUUUGAAAGUCAAGUGUCUUAUUUUUUCGGAAAUUCAUUGAGCAAGAUGGCGAGAAGGAGAACGGCACGUUCAGAGCUCGUCCCGAGCCCCAAGAGUUUUAAUUUGUUAAAACUAGAAUUUUAAUAUUAAAAUUCAUGAAGAAUCGGAGUUGAUCACGAUAAUCGAUUUCUGGAGUGUCCAGUCCGCAGUGAACCGACUUCGGACAAAUCUUUGAGAGUGCACAGUGUCCAAAAAUGCCCGAAGGAACAUUCGGUGGCCAGUGACUGAGGAACUGCAAGCGUGGACUUAACAAUGCGGCAACGCAAGAGAUUUAUUUGUGUUUUUUUUAUUUAUUUUGUUGUGUUAGUGUGAUCCAACUGGCUUUGCCAAGAUGUGUUUUUGUUUUGUUAUAAUAAAAAAAGAUAAAAUGUGAUAAAUAAAAUACAAAUUUUGAAAA